rnacentral:rRNA from 1 species
GACGAACGCUGGCGGCGUGCUUAACACAUGCAAGUCGAACGGAAAGGCCCUGCUUUUGUGGGGUGCUCGAGUGGCGAACGGGUGAGUAACACGUGAGUAACCUGCCCUUGACUUUGGGAUAACUUCAGGAAACUGGGGCUAAUACCGGAUAGGAGCUCCCGCUGUAUGGUGGGGGUUGGAAAGUUUCGGCGGUUGGGGAUGGACUCGCGGCUUAUCAGCUUGUUGGUGGGGUAGUGGCUUACCAAGGCUUUGACGGGUAGCCGGCCUGAGAGGGUGACCGGCCACAUUGGGACUGAGAUACGGCCCAGACUCCUACGGGAGGCAGCAGUGGGGAAUAGUGCACGAUGGGCGGAAGCCUGAUGCAGCAACGCCGCGUGCGAGAUGACGGCCUUCGGAUUGUAAACCGCUUUCGCCUGUGACGAAGCGUGAGUGACGGUAAUGGGUAAAGAAGCACCGGCUAACUACGUG